AGCCUUAUAUUCAAUUAUGAUUAUAAAUUGCAAAUUUAUAGGUAGAUCAUUAUCCUAAGGCUU
rnacentral:tRNA from 1 species